rnacentral:rRNA from 1 species
GAUGAACGCUGGCGGUAUGCUUAACACAUGCAAGUCGAACGGACUCUUCGGAGUUAGUGGCGGACGGGUGAGUAACGCGUGAGAAUCUGGCUUUGGGUUCGGGACAACCACUGGAAACGGUGGCUAAUACCGGAUGUGCCGAGAGGUAAAAGAGAAAUUGCCUGAAGAUGAGCUCGCGUAUGAUUAGCUAGUUGGUGAGGUAAAGGCUCACCAAGGCAGCGAUCAGUAGCUGGUCUGAGAGGAUGACCAGCCACACUGGGACUGAGACACGGCCCAGACUCCUGCGGGCAGCAGCAGUGAGGAAUGUUCCGCAAUGGGCGGAAGGCUGACGGAGCAAUACGGCGGGAGGGAAGAAGGCUCGGGGGUUGAAAGCCUCUUUUCGUAAGGAAGAACAAAAUGACGGUACCGAAGGAAUCAGCAUCGGCUAACUCCUU